CAACCAUCCCUAAAAAUAUGGUAUUUCUUAUUCCCAAGAUAAAGGAAAAUUUAGAAUAUAUGUACUAUAUUGGCACGCAUACUAAAAAGAAAUUUAAAAGGUGCAUUCAUUUAAUUUGAUGCGUUGAAGGGUCGUCGUCAGACACUAGCUCUCAUUGGAGAUUAAUGUACUCGCUUUUUUAUAUAGUUAAGGCGUGUACGUAUUUUAAUAUUUAAAUCUGAAUUUUGAUCAAUGAUUAGUCUAAUAUUAAUAAAUAAUAUCACUGAAUUGACUCAAAUUUACUUUUCUAUUGUUGUAGUUUUGUUCAUACAAAUAUCGUAUUAUUUAAGAAACUAAGAAGUCCAAUAUUAGUUUUGAAGAUAAUGUUAAAUAUGACUACGCAUUAUAUUAGGUGCACAAUGGAUAGAGGAUAGCGUGCAUGCACACCAUUCAAUCGUUCAUUUGUUCUGGCGUGUAUACCUUGGGCUUUCCAUGAACCUCACAUUCCAUCAAUCUUCGACCCAGCCUGCUAGUCACACAAAAAGAGACAACUAGCCGUAGAAAAUUCUACCGGUUGGGUUUUGGCUGUACAUGUUUAUCACAUCAAAGGAAUCAAGCGGAUGUUUCUUCGUCACCUUAUAAUUAGGGUCAUAAUCUUUCUAGAACCAAGAAAAGUCACGCUAUGGUGGUGUGGAUCGAGACCAGUAAACCGGGCAGCAGCUGGUCCGGCAUUAUAUAUGUAUACCGGAGGGUCUAUAUAUAAGUAGCAAACUAAUGACCAGAGAGAGUAGUGCUAGCCAGUAAUAAGCACCUCUAGCCAAGAAAUCAGACUGGACGACCGGCCGGCGCCACGCCGGAGUUCGUUCACAAGUUCUCGCCGGUGAGCCUGCGUUCGAUGUUGAAAAGACGAGGAGUGGCUGCGCAGCAGCGGGCGCCGGAAGCGAUGGUUCUGGCGGCGGUGCUCCUCCUGAUGAUCGCCUACGGCGUGGCCCGGAACGAGGCGGCGGUGCCCGACUCCAGUCUCUCCUGCCUCUCCAUGCCUCGCCAACAAGACGGCGCGACAACUCCAAAUCGGCGUUCCUUAUCCGUGCACCCGUCGUGCUGCACUAGUAGCCCCCCGCCGAGCUGCUAUAAACCUCAACCCUGCCCACCGUCCUAAUCGACCGAAAAGGCCAAAAUAUAUACAUACACAAAAGUUACCAUAUAUAUUUCAAGAUCGGUGGAAGUACUUACAAUAUAUAUUAACGUGUUGUGUCAUACUAUGUCAGAAUUUACAAGCUA